rnacentral:rRNA from 1 species
GACGAACGCUGGCGGCGUGCUUAACACAUGCAAGUCGAGCGGAAAGGCCCUUCGGGGUACUCGAGCGGCGAACGGGUGAGUAACACGUGAGUAACCUGCCCCUGACUCUGGGAUAAGCCUGGGAAACCGGGUCUAAUACCGGAUACGACACAUGGCCGCAUGGUCUGUGUGUGGAAAGUUUUUUCGGUCGGGGAUGGGCUCGCGGCCUAUCAGCUUGUUGGUGGGGUGAUGGCCUACCAAGGCGACGACGGGUAGCCGGCCUGAGAGGGCGACCGGCCACACUGGGACUGAGACACGGCCCAGACUCCUACGGGAGGCAGCAGUGGGGAAUAUUGCGCAAUGGGCGGAGGCCUGACGCAGCGACGCCGCGUGGGGGAUGACGGCCUUCGGGUUGUAAACCUCUUUCAGCAGGGACGAAGUUGACGUGUACCUGUAGAAGAAGCGCCGGCUAACUACGUGCCAGCAGCCGCGGUAAUACGUAGGGCGCGAGCGUUGUCCGGAAUUAUUGGGCGUAAAGAGCUCGUAGGUGGCUUGUCGCGUCUGCCGUGAAAGCCCGUGGCUUAACUACGGGUCUGCGGUGGAUACGGGCAGGCUAGAGGCUGGUAGGGGCAAGUGGAAUUCCUGGUGUAGCGGUGAAAUGCGCAGAUAUCAGGAGGAACACCGGUGGCGAAGGCGGCUUGCUGGGCCAGUUCUGACGCUGAGGAGCGAAAGCGUGGGGAGCGAACAGGAUUAGAUACCCUGGUAGUCCACGCUGUAAACGUUGGGCGCUAGGUGUGGGGGUCUUCCACGAUUCCUGUGCCGUAGCUAACGCAUUAAGCGCCCCGCCUGGGGAGUACGGCCGCAAGGCUAA